rnacentral:rRNA from 1 species
UAGGGAAUCUUCGGCAAUUGGGGGAACCCUUACCGAGCCACGCCGCGUGAUUGAAGACGGUUUUCGGAUCGUAAAGCUCUUUUGUUAAGGAAGAACGAGUGUGAGAAUGGAAAGUUCAUGCUGUGACGGUACUUAACCAGAAAGGGACGGCUAACUACGUUCCAGCAGCCGCGGUAAUACGUAGGUCCCGAGCGUUGUCCGGAUUUAUUGGGCGUAAAGCGAGCGCAGGCGGUUAGAAAAGUCUGAAGUGAAAGGCAGUGGCUCAACCAUGGUAGGCUUUGGAAACUGUUUAACUUGAGUGCAGAAGGGGAGAGGGGAAUUCCAUGUGUAGCGGUGAAAUGCGUAGAUAUAUGGAGGAACACCGGUGGCGAAAGCGGCUCUCUGGUCUGUAACUGACGCUGAGGCUCGAAAGAGUGGGGAGCGAACAGG